rnacentral:rRNA from 1 species
AUUGAACGCUGGCGGCAUGCCUAACACAUGCAAGUCGAACGGCAGCACGGUUAAGUACUUGUACUUAAUGGGUGGCGAGUGGCGAACGGGUGAGUAAUGCGCAGGAAUGUGCCUUAAAGAGGGGGAUAACUUGGGGAAACUCAAGCUAAUACCGCAUAAGCUCUGAGGAGUAAAGCUGGGGACCUUCGGGCCUGGCGCUUUAAGAAUAGCCUGCGUCCGAUUAGCUAGUUGGUAGGGUAAAGGCCUACCAAGGCGACGAUCGGUAGCUGGUCUGAGAGGAUGAACAGCCACACUGGGACUGAGACACGGCCCAGACUCCUACGGGAGGCAGCAGUGGGGAAUAUUGGACAAUGGGGGCAACCCUGAUCCAGCAAUGCCGCGUGUGUGAAGAAGGCCUGAGGGUUGUAAAGCACUUUCAGUGGGAGGAGGAUCGAUUGGUUAAGAGCUGAUUAAUUGGACGUUACCUACAGAAGAAGCACCGGCUAACUCCGUGCCAGCCGCCGCAGUAA